CUCUUCCCGUUGUGAGAGCUUUUAAAAAUAUAUUGUUUUAUCGGCUGAAAUGAAAACAAUCGUUAACAUGCUACUAUGCAUAUCUAUCUGUAUACGAAUGUGGUUCAAUUGUGGUGUUGCUUGUACAAAUCAAAAGUAGAAAUUUGUCACUACGGAAACCAAAUAUCAGAUGAACUACAAUUAGGAUCCUGCAAAAGUGUACGAAAACAAUUUCUACAGUCCACAAGGUAGUACGACGACGUUGUCGGAAAGUUGGUAAAGGUAGACUAGAUGUUAUGCAUAUAUCAAAUUUAUAUUAAAUUUUAGAAAUAUUUACUAGUAAUAAUCGUUUAAUUAACAUUCUACCAUUUUAUUGACCUGUCUUUUUAAAUAAUGAAUAUUACUAGAAUAAAAUGCGAGAGAUGUUAGAAUUUGCAAGAGGUGCUGAAGCUUUAAGAUAUCUUGUAAAACAAAAUGUUGGAGGGAUUUUUGUAAAUAAUCGUUACCAUCUUCAAAGAUGUAUCCACAACGUUCAACCAAAACUUUAGCGUUUCAAAAGUGAAGUUUUGUGUGCGUCGUCUCGCACCUGUGAUAUUCUGACGCCUCUCAAACAAUAUAUUAUUUUAUAUAUAUUCUAAUGACCCUUAAUGUUAGAAGUUAAUAUAAAUGUUAUGAAAGUGAAAUUCGAUAU